CAUGGCUGGGAACCACUGGUCUAGGAAACAUGGAUUGUGAAGAUUAGAUGUACCCUUGGACAGUACAACCUAUUGAAUGAACUGUGCAUCUAUUCUUCACUGUUUCAUUUGCAUAAAAUUAAAUUUGCCGUCUUCUGACUAAAGGCCGGGACACAGCAAGCAAACGUCAAGCCGUCGGUGAGCAUCUGUUGGGCUAGUUUUUUUGUUGCUGUUUUUGUUGUGUUCUACACGUUUGCUGUCGUCAGGCUCAAAAUGGCGUUUGGCUUCUGUUUCCAUGAUGUCACACUGGGUAGCUCCGCCCAUAGUGAAUCCUCAUUGGUCCAAGAUCCUGCCCCACAUAGAUCUACAGUUACCACAGACCUCGGUUUCUGAGAAAGGACAGAAAACAUGUUAACCUUUGUAUAUCUUCAAUGAAGCCCUAGCAUGCAAUUGUAAAGUAUGUCUAAUUUAAAUAAAAUAUCCGAC